GCUUCUGUGGUGUAGUGGUAGCACGCACCACCGGUAUUGGUGAGACGCUGGUUCAACACGCCUGAGGUCA